CACGUAGGGUGCGAGCGUUGUCCGGAAUUACUGGGCGUAAAGGGCGCGUAGGCGGCCUGCUAAGUCGAACGUGAAAUCCCUGGGCUCAACCCAGGAACUGCGUCCGAUACUGGUUGGCUUGAAUCCGGGAGAGGGAUGUGGAAUUCCAGGUGUAGCGGUGAAAUGCGUAGAUAUCUGGAGGAACACCGGUGGCGAAGGCGACAUCCUGGACCGGUAUUGACGCUGAGGCGCGAAAGCCAGGGGAGCAAACGGG
rnacentral:rRNA from 1 species